rnacentral:tRNA from 1 species
UAGAUUGAAGCCCGCUGGAUUGGGUUUUUAGUUGUUAACUAAAGGUUUAUGGGAUCGAGGCCCGUCAAUCUAG